rnacentral:rRNA from 1 species
GCCGCGGUAAUACGGAGGGGGCUAGCGUUGUUCGGAAUUACUGGGCGUAAAGCGCGCGUAGGCGGCUUUGUAAGUUAGAGGUGAAAGCCCGAAGCUCAACUUCGGAAUUGCCUUUAAGACUGCAUCGCUAGAAUCGUGGAGAGGUGAGUGGAAUUCCGAGUGUAGAGGUGAAAUUCGUAGAUAUUCGGAAGAACACCAGUGGCGAAGGCGACUCACUGGACACGUAUUGACGCUGAGGUGCGAAAGCUGGGGGAGCAAACGG